rnacentral:lncRNA from 1 species
UUGUCGGUACAAACCCUAGUGCCAAACUGUGAAGACACUAGUAAUUUUUUAGAAAUAAUCAAUUUAAAUUAAUUAAGUAAAUAGCUGCAAUAUAAUUAUUGUAGCAAAAAUGAAAUGAAUAUGAAUAUCUCCUGUAAAUAAAAUUGCAAAAUACUAACAUAGUUUAGUUUCACAUGAAGGUAAAUCGUGAAUUUCAACAACCAUGGAGCAAAAAUGAAAUGAAUAUGAGUACCUCCUGGCAAAUGCCAUGAAAACUUCCAAAUACUGGCAUAGGUAGUAAUUUCCAGAUGGACGUAAAUCCUCACAUUAAAUACAUUGUGAUACCACUACUGCACUAAAUUGUAAGUAGCUAUAGAUUCUGUAAAUUCAGAAACUCUUUAUGUGCCUUGUUGGCAAUAUAUCUUAAAAAUUGUAUUUUAUAACAUAAAAACCCACGUUUGUUAGCCUUCUUGGCACUUUUUCUACAAUCAAUUAGGAAGAGAUAAUAAUGGACUCAGUAGCAACAUCGUCUUUCAAUCUCUGCGUUAUCUACGAUUAAAUUCACCAACUGAAGAGAGGAAAUUGUGGCGCUUCGAAAGCCAAUCUACGUCUCAAGUCUAAGUUUCUUCAAAAUCCAUAAGAAGAGCUAGUGCAUCUCAACUCUCCUUUUCCAAUAUCAUGAAUAAGGACGAAAGCAACGUAGAUCUAUCAGUAGUUCUCUUUAUAGAAGAGGAUGAUGCUCCGGCUGUUGUUGCAUCUAGCUGGCUGAGAUUUCGAGACAAAAUGUGUUAUUGGCCAUCUCACAUUAAAUCUGAGUGUAAAAGAGAAAAGCUGGUCCAUUCCUCCGCUGUCCCAGACCCUGAACAAGGUUGGGAGCUUUGCGCAGUGAGGGUCCUUCAGAAAGGAAUCAAGGAUCCGUUGAUUGCUCGGACCAAGGCGAAAUUGGCAGAAACAACCUCAGACAUAGAGAUACAGCACCUGAAAAGACCCAAAAAACCUGUUCAAAAAUUUUCCCCGGAAGAUACAUCUGAUGAAGAAAAUCAGCGAUCAGAUAAGACAGAUAGGAAAAGGCCAAAGAAAUCCGUAAGUUCUAAACCCAGCCAGGAUUCUGACAAGAAUGAACGCCAGGAACCUGCUCCUACUAUUUAUGCUUCGCCUGCAGAUGUUAGUGGUACAAUACCUUUUAAUGCCUCAAACGCUUCCAGUCAUUUUGAACUUCGCCCUAAUGCUUCUUCUGAGAAUUUUAGCAAAUCGCCUGAUACUCCAAACCUUUAUGAUAGUAGCUCUAAUGCACACUUUGUAGGUGCUUCAAGCAACUUCGAAUCUCACUUUGCCUUUGCUCGCAGUGAUGGUGAAGCACGUGAUCCAUCGCUAUCCUCUGGGCGAGAUUUUUCAAGGACUCUACAAUACCUCAAAUCUGCUGUAGAAAGCAAUGGGAGACUACUGGAAAAAAUUCUGGAGAAAGUAGAGAAGCUAGAAAUUGGGGCAAGUAGCGAAGCUGCCGUUAAAACUAACUCAGCGGAAAGCAACAUUGAUGAAAUGCUUCCGUGUAAAACAUAUCAAGAUGUAUUGAAAGUGGAAGAGACUAUAAUCAAGUCGACUGAUGCACUGAAUAAAUUGACGAAAAUUCUUCAACUUGUCGGAGGUUCGGAGACCAAGACGCUACUACAUAACAUGGUCCGAAAAAUUGUGGUGGAUGAAGUAGCACAGCUGUACAGUUUCAAAGGGGCUGUUGCAGGGAAGAAAUCGUUUCAAAAUCUAAAAAUGUAUAAAGUUUUAAAAGGAGUUAUUCAGAAACAGAAAGCAGAUGCCACUGACGACUAUCUGAAAGACGUAAUUGGAGAUUGGCUGACACAAGCUAAAUUUCGUGUUAAAAGAAGGCUUGAUCGAGCAGCCAAGAAAGUCAACAAUCCUGGUAAAGGCGUGGUUAUUGUAACUAACCAAGUCACCAAUGACCUUGAAGAACCUGGUGUAACUUUAGAAGAUGUAGGACCAGAUGAAAAUCAAGAGGAAAAUCUAGAGAAACAUAAAGAGAGAGAUGAGUUAGAUGAAAAUAUCUAACCAAUUAUGAUGUCUACCAUCUACUUAAAAUAUCCACUACUAUCCAUAGUAAUGUCUGCUGAUACUGUUGUUUUAUCAGAGAGUUGGAUAAUGCUGUUUAGCUCCGUACAUAUUCAUAUGAAUAUUUGUACGUACUUAUGAAUAUUUAUACAGUACAUACCUAAUAUUUAUACGUACGUAAUAUUUAUACGUGUACUCUUAUUCCUUGAGGCUAUUGUUUUUGUGAUUUCUCUUUGGUAAUUUUUUUACCUUAAUAUUAUUUAGUUUUCUUUUUUUGCUUUUUUACGGGCGAAUACAUUAGUAAAUUGUAAUCCUGUUUUGCAGCCGCCAAAUUUGACUGAGUUUUCAGCUUCUUCCUUUUUGUAUUUUAUUGAGGAAAUUCAAGAGAGCGCGAUGAGUUAGAUGAAAAUAUUUAAACAAUUCCGAGAUCUAUCAUCUACGAAUAAUAUUCACUGUAGUAUCCAUAAUAAUGUCUUCUGACAUUUGUUGUUUUUUCAAAGAGCGGAAUGGUUUUGUUUAGCUCCUUAUAUAUUUAUAUGAAUUUUCACACGUGCAUACUUGUGCACUUUUAUUCCUUGAGCCUACUGAUUUUGUGAUUUCUCUUUGGGUAAUUAUUUUACCUUCAUAUUAUUUAGUUUUCUUUUGUCAUUGAGGAAUAAUAAUUUUUAUUUUUCGCGGGCCAAUACAUUAAUAAUUGUAACCCUGUUUAGCAGCCGCUAAUUUUUGACUGAGUUUUCAGCUUCUUCCUUUUUGUACUUUAUUUUGAGUUGCAUUUCACAAUACACAAGAUGUUAUUGUAAAUCCUUUGACUUAAUUUUUCUUAUUUUCCAGUCAAGUUUGUUGACAACAGAAAAUUAGUUUACACCUAGAACCAUAAUUAGACUGAGCUUAGCAAAAAGCAGCCAAUAUCUAAAGAAAAUAAAUAAAUAAAUUAACGUAAAUGUAGUUUCCAGCAUAACUCCUAAUAUUUUAUCUCAUUGAAAAUUAAUUGUAAGGAUGAAACAUUUAAUUAUUAAAAGUAAUGGUUAAAAGUAUGUUUCACUGUAAGUCUUCUGGAGGAAUGAAACAUGAGCCCUCUUUUUCUUAGUUUUAUGUGGACAGGCGUUUGUUCAUUUUUGUUAAACUUAGUGUAGAGGUGUCGUCAGCUAAGUUGACGGUUGUUUACUACGGUACGGUUGUUGACGGUUGUCGUCGGCGCUUGCAAACCAAAAGUAAACAACCGUCAACUUAGCUGAUGACACCUCUAAUUAUGAACAGAAAUAUUUAGCUUUAUUAGUUUUGUUUUGAUUAUUGUUUCUCCCAGAGAGAGGCGAGCAUUAAAUCUGACAGGGCAAAAGGAACUUUUUAUUAUUGAUUGCUUGAGUCUGGAAACACAAAACUGUCCGAAGUAAUUAACAGCAUUUCAAAAUUUCCGCUAUCAUUUUAUUUUUAAAGGACAAUGUAUGACACUUUUUCUAGUAAUUUGCAGAAUGUAUCUUAUCCAAUUUUUGUAGAAACUAUGCAGUAACCUUGAUAUUGUUCAGUUAGUUAUGGAUUUGUAAAUUGCUUGGGUACAAAAAUACAUUUAUUCGCAUCGCAGUGUGCUUCAAAAUUUCCUCUCAUAUUUCCAGUUAGAAUGGAAAGCAACAAAUUUUUAAUUGCAAUUUUGCAUUGCCACUUUUUUACUGACAUAAGAGCUGGUGUUGUGAAGUGGCAAUAAGGAAUUCAUUGCUUUUCCUUCAAAACUGGAAGUAAGAGCUGAAAUUUUGAAACACUGCAUGUGUUUUCCACACAAGCCAUCUACGUAUCCAUGUCUGACAGUACAUUAUCAGGGUUACUGCAAUACUGCAUCAAUAUUAGGAAGAAACUAAUAGGAUUGCAUACUCAUUGUCAGUGUCAAGGUAAACUGAACCAUCACCAAGAUCACCUUGUCAUAACCUUGAUUUCAGUAUGAAAUCAACCUUUACAUCAAUAUUGUGACAAUAUUCUGACAGCAUAACGGGAGUAACACGAAAGUACUGACAUAAUACUGAUAUAAUAUGACAUCAAGAUAUAUCAACAUUAUAUUCAUAUUAACACCCUUGACGUGUCAAUAUGAAUAUAAUAUUACAUCAAUAUUCCUUGCUAUGUGGGCUUUUACAUUGCUUCUUAUGCAGAUUUCUAGAGCACACCCCAUAUUUCUCACUUGCACAUAGGUCUGUUUGGUAGAACUACGUCCAUAUAUCGAUGGUUAAAGUGCAAAACCAUGUGUUUCUGUUCUAACGUGCUAAGGAAGAAUGCUGUAUAGACAUUCG